rnacentral:rRNA from 1 species
GACGUAGGGGGCCAGCGUUGUUCGGAAUUACUGGGUGUAAAGGGUUCGUAGGCGGUGUGGCAAGUCGGGAGUGAAAUCUCUGGGCUCAACCCAGAGACUGCUUCCGAAACUGCUGUGCUUGAGUGUGAGAGAGGCUCGUGGAAUUGCAGGUGUAGCGGUGAAAUGCGCAGAUAUCAGGAGGAAUACCUAUGGCGAAAGCAGGUAUCUGGGCCAUCACUGACGCUGAGCUGCGAAAGCUAGGGGAGCAAACAGG